GACCCGGGCAGCGAGUCAGGAAGGCAAAGAUCGCGAAGCCUGGCGCCCCGGAGCGCUCAGCGCCAGGUGACACAGCCGUGGGCUCCCCGGCGCGGGCUUGACAGUUUCAUCCCCGCCCACUCGCAGGAGAGCGCCCCGCCGGGCUGCACGCGCGCGCGCAGGGGGCCAUAAAAGCUGCGGCGGCGCGGAGACGCCGAGCUCGCCCACCGCCCGGAGCAGCGGCCGCGUCAUGCAUGUGAACGGCAAAGUGGCGCUGGUGACCGGCGCGGCGCAGGGCAUCGGCAGGGCCUUUGCGGAGGCGCUCCUGCACAAGGGCGCCAAGGUAGCGCUGGUCGACUGGAACCUUGAAGCAGGUGUAAAGUGUAAAGCUGCCCUGGAUGAGCAGUUUGAACCGCAGAAGACUCUGUUCAUCCAGUGCGAUGUGGCUGACCAGGAACAAUUGAGAGAUACUUUCAGAAAAGUUGUAGACCACUUUGGAAGAUUGGACAUUUUGGUCAAUAACGCUGGAGUGAAUAAUGAGAAAAACUGGGAAAAAACUGUGCAAAUUAAUUUGGUUUCUGUUAUCAGUGGAACAUAUCUUGGCUUGGAUUACAUGAGUAAGCAAAAUGGAGGUGAAGGCGGCAUCAUUAUCAAUAUGUCAUCUUUAGCAGGAAGCCUGCAAGGCUCCAGGGCUGGAUCAAUUUAGGAUUCUGUGGGAGACAUUCCAUACCAUAAGGGGAGGCUUGCUUGCAUCAAAGUAAGUAUGAAUAGCAAAAUGCAAUGUAGCACUGUCUUUUAUCCAAUAAAGCCAUUUAAAUGUGUUAACACUUCACAUUCAUCGAGCACUUGCUGUGUAUGUGAUACUAUUUUAAACACUGCGUGAGCAUUACCUCAUUGAAUACAACAGACAUGAAGUAGAUUCCGUAAUCCCCAUUUAGUAGAUGAGGAAAUCAAGGUAGGAGAAUUUUGCACAAGUGUAUAUGGCAAGGAAGCAGGGAAGCUGGAAUUCACAUGCAAUCAACCUGCUACGAGACCUCUUCUUUUUUAACCACUAGAUUAUCUAUCUCUUCUCUCUGUGAGUUUGUUAAUUUGUCUCUCCAUCCACCGCCAUUUUGGCCUCACUGUGAAGUAAAAGAAACAGAAUUCCUAUAACUCAAUUAAGCCAGGGAAACUUCUUGAGGCCUGGGCACUGCUCUAAUCUAAAGACGACAAGACUAAACCCCAGUGAUAUCUUAAGCUUUUGCCCAUUUGACACACAUAGUAAAGCCCUGAAAACAUUUGAGAAGCUUACCAAAGUCGCAAGUCAAAACACGUCACUGAGAAGAACAAUUUAAGGAUUAUAAUUAGACGUCCACUUGGCUCUCUUGUCUAAGAGCUUGCUCUAUCACACUACCCACCCCAGGGUAUUCUUUCUCUCCUUCCCUAUUUCAGGGUCAACAUUUGGAACCAUGUGUGGGUCUUUCUCUAAUUAUGCAGAUAAGACAGUGAUUAGAUCCCAAAAUCAGUGAUAAGAUCAUUUGUGUUUUAAAUUGUCUUUCUGGCACUCUUAUAAUUUAAAGAAUAUCCUAACCUUCCUAACUGCAUCUCUGCCUAAUAUUCCUCCCAGCCAGCAGGGUAACUCUAUUUAUAAUGGUUAAGUAGUUUAUCUUUGUCCAUUCUGUAUGACUCGGUGCCUCCAUCCUUGUGAAGAAAGGUUCAUAAUGCCUGACCACCAUACCUGUUGCCUUUCUACUAUUUGUCGCUGGCCAGUCUGGACAGCCCUGGACCAGGCCCUGCCACCUCUCCUCCCACCUGGGCUUUGUCAUUAAGGUACUUUCAUCUGACAAACAGUAUUAAGAUGUACUAUCUUGUAUUUUGUCCACUCACCAAGCGCUUCUAUUCUUCCCAUAAUGAGUUCGAUAAACAUUCAGGAUUUUGUAAUGGUAGAAAAACAGAACCUCUCAGGUGUCACACUUUCCUCAGAAAUGUGAUAAAAAAUUGUCUACCCUUGAAGUCACAGCAUGAUGGGAGAGGCCAGAUGACCAAAAGAGUCUUUGAGGAGUUACCAGAGUCAAAGUAGUUUUUUUUUCCAGUUUUAUUGAGGUAUAGUAAACAAAAUGUAGAAAAAAGCAUUUCUAAUGCUUGCUUCCUCUGUGUUUUCCAAAAGUGCUUUCCAAACUUUCUCUCCUCACAGAUUUUUCCUCUUUUUCCCCUUACUGCUCACUCUAUGAAGGGAAUAGCUUUGGGUCCUGUUGAACUCAACCAGUCUUUCCUCAUAGACUCUUACAUAGAUUCGGUGGAGUCCUUCACUGUCAGUAAAACCUUAAGUUGAAACACUGGUUUGGGCAGAGAAGUUAAUGAGUAAUGACCACUGACGCAGCCCAAGUAUCAAAUGCAAUUAAUUAGUUUAACAAACAGGAGUAAAGCGGAGAGUGAUCCCUCAGCGUACUGAGGGAAGGGUGUGCUCCAUCUGGAAGCUCCACAAGCUGUUCUGAUCACUGUUAACCACAUAGACUCUUCCGUAGGAGUUUUUGUCUAUAAACGUAAUAUAUACAGCUGAGCUCAUUUUGCCACAUUCAUCAUUAACUAUUAAAAAUUUUUUUUUUGAGAACAGGGUGACGUCUGGUGUCAUGCAGGUAAUUAACCAGCUGUGCUCUGAGCCUAGGACAUCCUGUAAGAGUCAAGUUUGCCCCUUACAUAGUUGCUUCAAACAGGGAAGGACAAAGCGGUUGUCAGAGGAAAAGCAGUCCCCUUGCGAAUCCUGCUUCCACCUGCCUGCACACUCAGCUGCUGAGGUCUUUCACUGGGGGCAUUCUCUGUGCCUCUGACAGUCACUCAGUAGCAUUUUGUGAGAGAUCCUAUUAGGGUCUUUUUUUUUUUUUUUUUUUUUUUUUUUUUUUCUAAGAUUGAAAACAAUAAAUAAGAAAACUUAUUUUCUGAAAACAUUUAGAGUCUCAAGGAAAUAUGUGAGCAUGUCUUAAAUACCAGCCCAGUAACAUACUUAUUUGAGGCAUACAUUUCACCUAAAGGAGUGUAAUUAGCUUGCCAUUUGUGUUAAGGUGGAUGUGCCAAAGUUACCACUUUAAGUAACAAAUUCAACUUAAUCGUACAUACCUUGGGCACGUACAGAGAGGCAAAUAGGGAUGUGAAAGUAACGAGGCAAAAUUUCUGCCUGAAGAGCCGCAUAUCGGUAUCUCUCAUCAACAUGGCAGAAGUAAAUAGAAUGACAUAGACUUUUUAAGCAGAAACAUGAUACCGAAUUGCAAGGCGCUGGGAUUCCCAUGGCCUGAAGAGUGGUAGUUGGACUGGAAUGUCGCAACAGACCAGAAACAUUGGGUGACUUAGACUACUGAUCACCUUCUUUCAUCUCCGAGCCAACAGUAAAAAGAAUCAGGUGGUACCACCCUCUGCAGUAUUCUUUUUUUUUUUUUUUUUGAAUAAGUGUUUAUUUAUUUUGAGAGACAGGCAUAUAUAGAAUGAGCAGGGGAGGGGCAGAGAGAGAGGCAGAGAGAGAAUCCCAGGCAGGCUCCCUGCUGCCAGUGCAGAGCUUGACGCAGGCUUGAACUCACACACCAGAAGAUCAUGACCAGAGCUGAAACCAGUAAUCGGACACUUAACCAACGGGGCCAUCCAGGCACCCCAGAACUAAUAAAAUUGAUUCUUAACAAACAAAAUUACCUUUCCGGAAAGAUUUUCAUUACAGAAGAUGCAGUAGUUUUAUGAAUGCUUACGCCACUUUUCACGUCCUGUCACACUUGCAAACGUGACUUGUUAAUGGCGCACAUGAUACUGAUGGAAAAAAGCAGCACCAGAUAAGGUGUUCUGUUAUGUGGAAGAUCGCGUGUAACGAGGAGGUGCACCGACUACUUGGGUCAGCUGUCUCCACCAACCUAGAUAAGCAGAUUCUCAUCACUUCUUCCUUCUCCCUCCUCUUAGAAGAGCGAUGGUUGAAAACAGAAAGAUGGGUAGAUGUUUUCUUUUUUGACCGUAAAACAAACGUGAGGGGUUCACAUUCCUGCUUUUUGGCUGAGCUGCUGAGCUACAGUUUUGCAUGCGAGGAUUGGUGUCCUUGGAUUCUCAGUUUGUUUUCCUAAGUGGAAUUUCUUCAGCACUUCUGUGUAAUCUAUUUGACAUGGCUUCUGCGCCCCAGAAAGGAAGUAUGUUUGGUGAUUCAGUACAAUUGCCUUGUCUGAGCAGAUUUGCAGUUUUUUACCUUCUAUGAGAUGUAAAGGUUACAGCUAUCUGUUGUAAAUAUGGGCAGAAAGAAUAUUAAAGAUAGAAGAACUAAUGUGGAAAUGGAAAAUGUAUUUUUCUAAAUGACUUCCUUCUAUGUUCUGUAAUUGCAUAUGUAAUUUUCAGGUAUUUAAAAUUUUUUUUGUAAUUAUCUCAUCCAGUCAUUCGCUAUUUGGUGUUAUUAUCCUGAGUGUUUAUAGAAAGCAUUUAUUUUGUGGGUAGAAUUUCUCCUUCCAUUGAUUUUUUUUUAACUUUUUUAAUGUUUAUUUAUUUUUGAGAGAGAGAGAGAGAGCGAGCAGGGGAGGGGCAGAGAGAGAGGGAGACACAGAAUCUGAGGCAGGCACCAGGCUCUGAGCUGUCAGCACAGAGCCUGAUGUGGGGCUGAAACUUACGAACUGUGAGAUCAUGACCUGAGCUGAAGUCGGACGCUUAACCGACUAAGCCACCCAGGCGUCCCUAUUGAAUCUUUUUCCCAAAUGAAUCUAUACUUAGGGUGGACAUAAACCUGUAAGUAAUUAGACCUAUUAUGUUUUGGAGAGACUCAUUUUGCAAUUCUGUAAGUCAGCUUGCAUCAUGCUGGGUCUAGACUAAGGAUUAAAAAAACUAUUCUUUUUAAAUAAAGUUUAUUCUGAGAGAGCGAGAGAAAGAGAGAGAGAGCGAGAGAGGGAGGGGCAAAGAGAGAGGGAGAGAGAGAAUCUCAAGCAGGUUCCACACUGUCAGUGCAGAGCCCAGUGUAGGGCUCGAACUCAUGAACUGUGAGAUCAUGACUUGAGCCAAAAUCACAAGUUGGACGUUUAACCGACUGAGCCACCUAGGUGCCCGAGUAUAAAGUAACCAUUUUUAAGCACAAAUAAUAGCUUUCUCUCUCACAACAUUAAACAAAACGUCAUUUCUUUAGAGACUGCUAUCUCGUUGUCAUAAUCCUUUGUUUUGUUGUUGUUCUUAAAUCCUUUAACAUGAAUACCCUGUGCAUAUCGGUAUUAAUUUGCAAGAUGUUAAAAACCCACAUUAAUUCCAGCCGCUGGCCAGCUAGUUACAUACUGGCAAUAUUUCCUUGAAGUUGGAUGACUGGCAGUGAUCUAGCCUUUCAGCACUGGAGGGACUCAUUUCAAUAGAGUAUAUUUUAAAUAUGCUUCCCUGUGCCUUGUACUUGAAACAGACUAAACACAUAGAUCUCAAACGAAUGUACUUCUGUAAAUCCUCUUGAAUUAGGAUUAGCAGCAGCCCACGGUUCACCAGGUUCAGAAACCCAACCAAGUUAGGACAUUGUACCAGAUUUGUGGCAUUGUAGUUCAAAAGUAUACAUUUUCAGAAAAAGAUACAAUGUGGAAAAAUAAGUCUGUAAAAUGAGAUUUGGGGAUACAGAUCUCUAACCCACCCUUCCUGUUCGGAACAUGAGAAGUAACAGUUAAGAUCUAUAUAUGCUGGGAAGAUUGAAAAAAAAAAAAAGUCUCCAAAUUAACUGUGGCUUGCCUAAGUAACUGAAAAAUAGAAUUCUCUUAACUUGUAAUACCCCCAAACUGGAAACAAUCCAGAUAUCUAUCAACAGGUGAAAGUAUAUGCAAUUGAUGGGUAUAUUCUUACAGUGGAAUAGUAUUCAGAAAAAAAAGAAAAGAAAAGAAAUUAGCUAUUGAUACACACUAUGAUGUAGGUAAAGCUCUUGAUUAUCCUGGGUGAAAGAAGUCAGACUGAAAGAGUUUACAAUAUGUGAUUACGUUUAUAUAAACUUCAAGAAAAGGAGGACUGUAGUGACACAAAGCAGAUCAGCGGUUGCCUAGAGCAGGGAAAGGGGGGCAGGAAGCAGAAGGAAGGGGUGACAAAGGCACAAGAGGAGACUUUUAAUUGAUGGAUGUGUUCACUAUCUUGAUUGUGGUCAUGGUUUCAUGGGUGUUUACAUAUGUUGGAACUUCUUGAACUGUGCACUUUAUGUAGUUUAUUGUGUGUCAUUUAUGCCUUCAUAAAGUUAUAAAAAAAAAAGGACAAUUUCUGAGUGUCUGCUAUUGAUUUAUACAGCCUUUGAUCUGAUAUCAAAAAGCAAAAGCAAAGUACAAGUCAACAUUUUGCAGGAUCGCAGUGAAAAUGUCAUUAUAAUGGUACAAGAUUCAUAAAACCAAGUGCCGCUUUAAAAAUGGAAGCAAAUUUUUCCCAUUCUGGUUGCAUUUACAGUUGUGCCUUUAAAGAGAAGUGUAUGUUUUGUGCUUGCCUGUUUAAAUGGAACCCACCUAACAGUACUUGAUUUAUUUCACUUCUGUGAUACUUUGAACCAGCUUGGGUUCAGAAGUUCAGUACCUUCACAGAAGUUACAAAAGUCCAUUUCAAGUUCAUCUUUGACAACAUUUAUGAACAGCGCCCUUGUGCUUUUUGUUUCUGUGGCUGUGUCAGCUUUUCUCUGCCUACAGCUCCUUCUGCACUUCCUACAGUCCGUGGACACGGUCCUACCACCAACUGCCUUUAUCUCUUAGACCUUUAAGGAGGGGCAAAGCCACGACUAACUCAGAAGAACAAGAUGCAGCAAUGCCUGGCUGCACCUGCUUAUUCCCUUUAUCCCAAAGUCCUGAUACACGGUGAUACACAGUCCUGUGUACACGGUGGAGCCAUCAUGAAUUCUUGGUGGCUGACCUUAAUGAACUUAAUUAACUGACACAUUUUACUAAACCUAAAAACAAAAAACAAGAAGAGAACCACAUGUUAUAAUACUUUGAGGUCACUGGGUGGACGCACUACGUGUGAUCUACCAUCAGGGAUUUAAAGUGCUCUUGAGCAAACAUACUUUAUAAAUUGAGACCUGGCAGGCACCCAGGGAGUGGUUAAGGUCUGCAUUUAGUGCUGAACUUUGGCACAACACACUCGACUGAUUGGUGGUGCUCUGGGACUAGUUAGCUGGGUGGAGAUGAACAUGUCUCAGCAGAAUAAUUUAGUAUUAUUAACAUGACAUUUGAUAUUAAUAACAUUAUAAUAAUCAGAGAUCGCUGUCCCUUGACUCAGAGAAGUCACAAUGUUAAAAAUGUUAAAAUGAGUUAAUGGAAGAAAUUUGUUAAAAACUGAAAUAUACAAAUGGCUCUAGUUGAAAGCUUCACUAUUGAUUAGAAAAUUGACAAUUCUGAGAAAUAAACUUGGUAGUAGUAGAACUAGAAAUAGAAUUUGAUUGUUCAGGAAAAGGUUUUUCCUGUUGUUUUGUUUCUUUUGGGGGGUUGUGCCAAGAGGUAGGGGGACAAAAGAUGCUGUGCGUGCUACAAUACUAUUUCUGCAGGCCAUGAAUUUAAUCAUGCAUUCGAAUAGUUACUACUAUGCAUAUGUGGAAAAUUAAGCCAAUUCUAAAAUUGCUUGAAUUGUGUUAGAAUGCAUAAUUAUGAAACGAAAUAAAAUGGAAUCAUACA